UACGUGGGGGGCAAGCGUUGUCCGGAAUCACUGGGCGUAAAGGGCGCGUAGGCGGCUCGGUAAGUAGGGGGUGAAAUCCUGCGGCUUAACCGCAGGGCUGCCUUCUAAACUGUCGAGCUCGAGCACGGUAGAGGCAGAUGGAAUUCCCGGUGUAGCGGUGGAAUGCGUAGAGAUCGGGAAGAACAUCAGUGGCGAAGGCGGUCUGCUGGGCCGUUGCUGACGCUGAGACGCGAAAGCGUGGGGAGCGAACAGG
rnacentral:rRNA from 1 species